CUACGGGUUGCACCAGUGGGGAAUAUUGCACAAUGGAGGAAACUCUGAUGCAGCAACGCCGCGUGGAGGAUGACACUUUUCGGAGCGUAAACUCCUUUUAUAUAGGAAGAAGAUGACGGUACUAUAUGAAUAAGCGCCGGCUAACUCCGUGGCCAGCAGCCGCGGUAAUACGGAGGGCGCAAGCGUUACUCGGAAUCACUGGGCGUAAAGAGCGUGUAGGCGGAUUAAAAAGUCAGAAGUGAAAUCCUAUAGCUUAACUAUAGAACUGCUUCUGAAACUCUUAAUCUAGAAUAUGGGAGAGGUAGAUGGAAUUUCUGGUGUAGGGGUAAAAUCCGUAGAGAUCAGAAGGAAUACCGAUUGCGAAGGCGAUCCACUAGAACAUUAUUGACGCUGAGACGCGAAAGCGUGGGGAGCAAACAGGAUUAGAUACCCGCGUAGUC
rnacentral:rRNA from 1 species